rnacentral:rRNA from 1 species
UGGGGAAUAUUGCGCAAUGGGGGAAACCCUGACGCAGCCAUGCCGCGUGAAUGAAGAAGGCCUUCGGGUUGUAAAGUUCUUUCGGUAUUGAGGAAGGUUGAUGUGUUAAUAGCACAUCAAAUUGACGUUAAAUACAGAAGAAGCACCGGCUAACUCCGUGCCAGCAGCCGCGGUAAUACGGAGGGUGCGAGCGUUAAUCGGAAUAACUGGGCGUAAAGGGCACGCAGGCGGUUAUUUAAGUGAGGUGUGAAAGCCCUGGGCUUAACCUGGGAAUUGCAUUUCAGACUGGGUAACUAGAGUACUUUAGGGAGGGGUAGAAUUCCACGUGUAGCGGUGAAAUGCGUAGAGAUGUGGAGGAAUACCGAAGGCGAAGGCAGCCCCUUGGGAAUGUACUGACGCUCAUGUGCGAAAGCGUGGGGAGCAAACAGGAUUAGAUACCCUGGUAGUCCACGCUGUAAACGCUGUCGAUUUGGGGGUUGGGGUUUAACUCUGGCGCCCGUAGCUAACGUGAUAAAUCGACCGCCUGGGGAGUACGGCCGCAGGGUUA